rnacentral:misc_RNA from 1 species
AAAAAAAAAUCAUAAUCAAUGAAAAUCUUGCCAAAAUUCUGGAAUGCUUAUAGAAUCAUGCCCUAAAUUCGAUAUUUGUGAAAGGUGUUGAACAUGAGAAAGAACCGAAACGAUUCAGUUUUAUUUUGGGUUCUGGAAUUAAUGGAAUAAACUGCACUUUUAUUUGGUUUUGAUAUUGUAAAAAGAAAAUGAAUGGAUGGAUUUCCUGUGGUUCUUGAUCUCAUUGCAGGCUGUGGAUGCAGCAGCGGUACUUAUUUGCUCUAUUAACUGCCAUUUA